rnacentral:rRNA from 1 species
UAGUGUAUGUUAAUGUUGCUGCGUUUAAAAAGCUCGUAGUUGGAUCUCGGGCGUCCUGUCCCGGUGCGCUCCUGGCGCAACUGGGAACGAUGGACGCCGUUUUUUGUGUCGGGAGUCGGGGUGCUCUUGACCGAGUGUCCCGAUGCUUCCCCGGCACAGGUUUACUUUGAAAAAAUUAGAGUGCUCAGCGCAGGCAAUCCUCGCUUGAAUAGUCGUGCAUGGAAUAAUGGAAUAGGACGUCGUUUCUAUUUUGUUGGUUUUCGGAAAUCGACGUAAUGAUUGAUAGGGACAGUCGGGGGCAUUAGUAUUCAGGCGAC